UACGUAGGUGGCAAGCGUUGUCCGGAUUUAUUGGGUUUAAAGGGUGCGUAGGCGGCUUUGUAAGUCAGUGGUGAAAUAUGGCAGCUCAACUGUCAGGGUGCCAUUGAUACUGCAGAGCUUGAGUACAGAUGAGGUAGGCGGAAUUGACGGUGUAGCGGUGAAAUGCUUAGAUAUCGUCAAGAACACCGAUAGCGAAGGCAGCUUACUGGGCUGUAACUGACGCUGAGGCACGAAAAGUGUGGGGGAUCAAACAGGG
rnacentral:rRNA from 1 species